AAAAUAAAAAUUAUCCUUCUAUGUGAUCCCUAAUUACCCUCCAAAGUAUUGUAUUUUUACCUUUUUCUCUCUACUCAUUUUUGAUAGGGAGGAAAGGGAAACAUUCAAUAUCAAGACUCUUCUUUAACAUUCAAGGGGGAAAUGGAAACAGCCAACAUGAAAGCCAGAUUUCCCAGGAAGAAGUCAGACUGAAGUCAUGGUGUGCCCUUAGCUACAGUGGAAGACUCUGAAGGAUUCCACAAAGCCUGUUGAAGCACUUACCUCUUGACUUGAGGAGAAGGAGGAAGCACCCUUCUUGCCUAACUCAGUCAUGUGGGUACACCUAUGCAUGGGAGGCUGGGAAAUGAAGUUUAGCUACAUGCCUAUGAGGAAGAGAAAAUAGGCUUGAAUCUCUGCUCCUUGAGUUGGCAUCCAAGUACCUUAAUGGAAUAGCAGUUCUCAAGCAUGGUGCCUCCAGACCACAAAUCUAGGGAAUAAAAGGAGACAUAUCCAUAUGUGGAUAGACGAAAGGCAUAAUUAUGGCUUGUAUCGCUUGGAAAGCCUUUAUAUAUGAUGAGAUACUAUUGGGACUGUGAGCAGAUGAAGCUGGUGCCUGAGUUCGAGUGUCACGUGGAGAGCUGCUUGGCCUCCCCACAGAGGGACCUGUCCUCAACGUCUCUGCCUGAAGUCAGCCUUCUGGGAAGGAACAUGGACCAUUCUUAGAAGACAGACUUCUCCAGUUUUGAACCAGAGUCCCUCUUUGCAACAGAACUGUUACAUCAUGACUUAAACUACCCCUUUCUGCUUAGGCACAUCCAGAGUUUAUAUUUCCAUAGAAUAAUUUUUGAGACCAAAUUACCUGAAUUCAGAAAACCUCUGAAUAAUGAAAUAGCUAUAAUUUCUAUGCCAGACACUGUGCUGGCUUCUCUGUGUAUCAUCUCAUGUACUCCUCACAACUGUAUGAAGGGGGUACCGCUGUCAUCUGUUUGGUGGAUGACACGAUUGAUUCUCAGAGCCCUUAGGAAAUGGACUUGAUGUCACAUGCUCAUAGUAGGUCUGGCUCUGUCAUCUCUACUUUUAUCCACUGCACUGUACGGCCCCCUCUUUCUAAAAAAAAGACUAUUCAAACAUUUUACCUUCAUUUUUUCAAAGGAUUUAAGUUGUAGGAAGGAGAUUCAUUAAGUUGUAUGAAGGUACAAAUCUAAAUGUUGUACCCUCUGUACAGUUCCCUAGAGAGCAGAUGCUGGGCCACGAGUCAGCCUACCUAGAAAAGGAUUCUCUGUGUGACAGGAAUACACUAUGAGCUGGACCACUCGCAUGAUAUUUUGCAGAACCUUCUGUAUAUUUUUUGAUCUAAGUUUGGUUUUGAGCACAGAAAUCUCUGUGAGAAAUCCCACGAGAAGAUUCCACUAAGGCAACGACAAAGACUCGUGUUCCAAUCGACUUUUUAUGUAAACGGAAAAAAAAAAAUGAAUUGGAAGCACACACCUGAAAAUUCAUAAGAGGCUCUCUCUCAGUAAUUAUGCAAUAUUCAUGGAAAUAGACUCUAGGCAUCAUGCUAAAAGUCAGACUUUGUCUCCAUUUUUUUCUCUUUCAAAAAAGCAGACGACCAGAAGGGAGAAAUGGUGCUCACAACCACACCAUAGGCACGAAGACGGGAGGUGGCAUUUCACAGUCACUCCUAACGGUCAAUAUCUGAGAAUUAAACCUCCCAGACAACCGGGGAAGCUUCGCCUGCUGGGAAUAUUCAUGCCCCUCUGGGUGACUAAUUCAUUACUUCAGGAGACAGAGAACGCGAAGGGCGCCCGACACUUUUUUCUGUGGCUUACCCUUAUGUCCCCAAAAGAAAAAUAUGUUUUGCUUUUGCACUUCCCCAGGUUACCAUGACUCCCCGGCUACUAGUAUAAAUAGAAAUAAACUAUUCAGAAGCAUCUAUUACAAAUGAUAAUAUUCUAG